rnacentral:rRNA from 1 species
UACGUAGGGGGCAAGCGUUGUCCGGAAUCAUUGGGCGUAAAGCGCGUGUAGGCGGCUUGGUAAGUCUGCUCUGAAAGCCCGGGGCUCAACCCCGGGAGGCGGGUGGAUACUGUCAAGCUCGAGUCCGGAAGAGGAGUGUGGAAUUCCUGGUGUAGCGGUGAAAUGCGCAGAUAUCGGGAGGAACACCUGUGGCGAAAGCGGCGCACUGGACCACAACUGACGCUGAGGCGCGAAAGCUAGGGGAGCAAACAGG